CACAAAAUACACCUGCAUGGAUUUCUACAAAUACCACGGGAGUCUCUUACAUUUGGGAACUUUACAGUCCUAUUGGUCAAACAACCAUGAAAAGACUGGUCGUCGUGCCACUGCCUUGCCACCAUGUCGCACCUCUCCCCCCACCUCCCUUGAAGAAUAAAGGAACAUAAUGGACGCUUUUUGAGGACCAGGAGGCAUGUCACACACCAUAAGCCCAGUGCAAGGCAGCGGUGGAUACACACAGUCUCGCACACCUGCUUCCAGAGAUUCCUGCUCCUUCAUCCUCUACCCUGUCUCCUGAGGGUCCAGCUCAGUGGGUUUCUACCACAAGACCAUACCCUCAGGCUUCCUCUCACAUCAAGCCUCGAGGGUGUCUGAGGCUUCAGUCCCCCUCAGUUUUCAAAUCACGUAGAGGGCUUUGGUUGUUGCACGAUAGCAACCAAAUCCCAUGCAAGUCAGUUUAUGAAAUUCCAUCACUGGUUACUCUGAGAGUUCCUCAUUGACAUUGGCUGCAGCCUCAGGCAUUAUGGUGCUAACUUUGGAAAAGUAUUUCCAAUUUCUACUCCUUCCUGUAUUACUAAUAGGGAUAGACCAAAUAGAACCCCACAGUGGAGAUGUUAUAAUACCCAUAAAACCUAGCAGUCAAACAGGGAAAUGGUUCCAAUCAAACCAGCCUUCGCUUGGCUCCCCCUCCUGUCCAGCUCAGGCGUUCGGCGUCGCUGGCCUUCUAGCUGCUGCUGAACCUGCUGCUGGAUAACGCCCUUCUCUCAUCAACCCCGGACUUGUCUCGUCAUCAUUACACACACCUGGUUCCAAUCUCCACUCUAUCACUGUAUAUAUACUCCCUCUGUCAUUUGUCUUUGAUUGGUCGAUGUAAAUGUUGCUUGUUUUCUUGAGAGGAAUCUCUCCUGCUGUACUUUUAAUAUAUAUAUAUAUUUAAUAAAUUCAGUAGUUCUAAACCCC
rnacentral:lncRNA from 1 species